UGCCAGCCGCCGCGGUAAUACGAAGGGGGCGAGCGUUAUUCGGAAUUAUUGGGCGUAAAGGGCUCGCAGGCUGCUUGAACAGUUAGACGUGAAAUCCCCGGGCUCAACCUGGGAACUGCGUUUAAUACUAGCAAGCUAGAGAAAUAGAGAGGAAAGUGGAACUCCCAGUGUAGAGGUGAAAUUCGUAGAUAUUGGGAAGAACACCAGUGGCGAAAGCGCUCUACUGGACCAUUACUGACACUCAGAGGCGAAAGCUAGGGUAGCAAAAGGGAUUAGAUA
rnacentral:rRNA from 1 species